AAGUACAAAUAUAAUCACAAAUAAUAUUCAUAUAUAUAAUUAUAAUCAAAAUCAACAAUUACAAAAGCACAAUCAAAGUGAAAUUAAAAUAUAUCCGAAUUUGAACUAAAAUAAAUCUGAACAAGAUAUGCUACACCGAAAAUGAGACUCGAACCUAAAAUCUCAAAAAACGGUUCUAAUUAAAAAAGUUUACUACUAGACUCCGGGUCCAGUUAAAAACCUGUUAAUAAAAGGGUGAGUUGUAGUGGCGGCUGCUCUGUCAUUAACUGUAGUUUCUGGGAAGUUUCAAUUAGGACAGCGCAACACUUGAAUAAGCUUGACCUUUAUAAAGUGAAGGGCAUAUUCUUCUAACUAUGGAACAAUCCAGGUUUUCUGCUUACCUCCUUUGACUACUCUUCUUCACCACUUUCUGGGUUUCCUUUCUUCUUUGUUUCAUAUAUCAUUUUUGGGUUUCCUUCAAUUCCUUCAUUUUUAUCACUCUUUCAAUAAUCCCUUUCUCAGCCAAUUAAGUUUCUAUGGAUACUACCCUUUUCCAAGAUUUUCCCAGUUCCAUGUAUGCGUUCAAAUUCGAUCAUGGAGCAGUCCCAGUAUAUUCAAAUCACGACUUCGUCAAUAAUAAUAAUGGGUUCAUUAAAGAUAGUCCUCCACAGGUUGUUCCGAGUCCAGACUCACCUGUUGAGUCAUGGACAACAACGAAUUCAGAGGCACAUCCCCUUGACAACAUCCCUUUUGCCAAUGAGAUGCUCAAGUACAUAAAUGAGAUGUUAAUGGAAGAAGACAUGGAAGAAAAGACCUGUAUGUUGCAGGAUUGCUUAGCUCUCCAAGCCGCUGAAAAAUCAUUCUAUGAAGUCCUUGGCCAUGAAUAUCCACUUUCAACGGAUCCUAUCCCUGCAUAUACAGAUCAAACUGGUGGUAGUCCAGGUGAUUUCGACUCCUCUUU
rnacentral:lncRNA from 1 species